rnacentral:rRNA from 1 species
AGAGUUUGAUCCUGGCUCAGGACGAACGCUGGCGGCGCGCCUAACACAUGCAAGUCGAGCGAGAACCGGAGCUUCGGCUCCGGGGACAGCGGCGAACGGGUGAGUAACACGUGGAUAACCUGCCCUCGGCACCGGAAUAGCCCGGGGAAACCCGGAUUAAUGCCGGAUGGCCCCACAUCCCUGCGGGGAACGUGGGAAAAGGUAGCUUCGGCCUCUGGCCGAGGAUGGGUCCGCGGUGGAUUAGCUUGUUGGUGGGGUAAUGGCCCACCAAGGCGACGAUCCAUAGCUGGUCUGAGAGGACGAUCGGCCACACUGGGACUGAGACACGGCCCAGACUCCUACGGGAGGCAGCAGUGGGGAAUCUUGCGCAAUGGGCGAAAGCCUGACGCAGCGACGCCGCGUGCGGGAAGAAGGCCUUAGGGUUGUAAACCGCUUUCAGGAGGGACGAAGCCACUCGGGUGAAUAGCCCAGAGGGUGACGGUACCUCCAGAAGAAGCCCCGGCUAACUACGUGCCAGCCGCCGCGGUAAUUC